rnacentral:rRNA from 1 species
GACGAACGCUGGCGGCGUGCUUAACACAUGCAAGUCGAACGGAAAGGCCCUGCUUUUGUGGGGUGCUCGAGUGGCGAACGGGUGAGUAACACUUGAGUAACCUGCCCUUGACUUUGGGAUAACUUCAGGAAACUGGGGCUAAUACCGGAUAGGAGCUCCUGCUGCAUGGUGGGGGUUGGAAAGUUUCGGCGGUUGGGGAUGGACUCGCGGCUUAUCAGCUUGUUGGUGGGGUAGUGGCUUACCAAGGCUUUGACGGGUAGCCGGCCUGAGAGGGGGACCGGCCACAUUGGGACUGAGAUACGGCCCAGACUCCUACGGGAGGCAGCAGUGGGGAAUAUUGCACAAUGGGCGGAAGCCUGAUGCAGCAACGCCGCGUGCGGGAUGACGGCCUUCGGGUUGUAAACCGCUUUCGCCUGUGACGAAGCGUGAGUGACGGUAAUGGGUAAAGAAGCACCGGCUAACUACGUG